rnacentral:lncRNA from 1 species
UGGCUUGAACUCUGGAGGUGAAGGUUGCAGUGAGCUGAGAUCAUGCCACUGCACUCCAACCUGGGUGACAGAGCCAGACUCUGUCUCAAAAAAAAAAAAAAGUACUGAUUGCCAAACAAGGCUUAGAUCUAGGCUGGCUAAUACUCGAAUCUUCUGUUUAAUUAACAACCUACCCAGUAGAGGCCUCCCAAUCCAGAGCUGAUAACAGGCUGCCAGAAAUAGCAACUCUGCGAAGGCUGAGCCUCCGUGCUUCAUUUUCUUUUCUUGUUUCUCCCAAUUUCAACAAUCAAGAAAACUUAGCUUCCUCUUUCAGAUAAAUGUAAAGGGUGGGACAGAGAGAAAGACCUUGGAAGACAUUCUCUCAUACUUCUACCCAAUGGGAAUAAGUACUCCCCCUUCUACAGAAAUGAGAAGGGACAAGCUUCCCCUCAUCACAACUAACUGUAGUGAAAACAUGGUUGAAAAGUGAAGAUUACAUGGCUCCAAGGCAUGAGGGGUAGCCUCCUUCGGGUGGGCCUAAGCUGGCAUCAUUAGGACUUCCAGAGGAAAUGGCAGGGUAUUUGCAGGAUGAUAAUUCUUUGUUAGUCCUAAAACUUCAAAAUAAACAGCAGCAAAGAAGUCUCUGCAGUGCUCAUUAAAUAAUGCUUGAUAAAGUUUGUGACGAUAGGAGAUACUGGGAAUCUUGAUCUACAGAUCCUAUCUCAGUCUUUUGGAUCGGUAUUAUAGGAAACAUGAAUGGAUGCAUUCCCAAAGACCCCCCCUUGGCCUCCUUAAUUUGCAGGGAAGUGUAUUGAGAGGAUGUGUGGGCAGUCAAGGGGAGACAAAUCCAAAGAGCUCCUUCUAGAACAUAAGUCCUCCCUUGUUUUCAUAGAGAGUGAGUGACUCAUCAUAAAAGGGAAGAACCACCAGGACUCAGUUUUGUUUUUCUCUGUUUGGGAAGAAGAUGGGAAAAAGCCAGAGGUAGUAGGUUCCAACCAUAAGCUGAGACUUUACAGAAGGAAAAGAGAAGAAAUAAGACAAAGAUGCUGGAGAAAAAAAAUUUAGUGGUGUCUUCUUUCUGAAGAAAGCAGGUGUCUGCUAAUCCCUGAAUUGGGAGAAAGAAUCUGAAAUUCAUAACUAUGCCCCAUAGGUAGAGGGUAAAUUUCUAACUGGGAGAGUGAACCAAGUGGGGAGAUUUAGAACAUCAUUACAGAAGAAGAAAACAGAACCAAUCCAGUAAUCAUGAUUGAUUCAGCCUCCAACCAGCUUGCUGUCUCCCUUAGAUGAUAGAAUGCAGAGUCUAGUCGAGAAUAACUUAGCAUAUAGUUUGUUUUGUUUGUUUGUUUGUUUGCUUGCUUGUUUUUGAGACAGAGUCUCACCCUGUUGCCCAGGCUGGAGUGCAGUGGCUCAAUCUUGGCUCACUGCAAACUCCACCUCCCGGGUUCAAGCAAUUAUCUUGCCUCAGUCUCCUGAGUAGCUGGGAUUACAGGCACGCGCCACCAUACCCGGCUAAUUUUUGUAUUUUUAGUUGAGACGGGGUUUCACCAUGUUGAUCAGGCUGGUCUUGAACUCCUGACCUCGUGAUCCACCCGCCUGAGCCUCCCAAAGUGCUGAGAUUACAGGCAUGAGCCACCAUGCCCGGCCUAGCAUAUAGAUUUUAAACCAAAUGGAGUCUAUAAAUAUGGCCCAGAUGAAGGGGCACAGAGAGCCACUGAGAAUCCACAUACACCAUAUCUAGACCCAAAGAAAGUCUGUAUAGAUCUGUCCCCAUCAAAUAGCAAUCCAAAAAGGAACUUGGAAAAACAUUUUGAGGUCAAUCCAGCAACAUCUGUCAAAAUUUUAAGUGUUCACAUCUUUGAACUCUAUUUCAAGGAGGUUAUCCUGCAGACAUCCUUGCACAAGUAAGCAAAGGUAACUGUAAAGGUAUUGCCUUGUUUGUAGCAGAAAUUAUUUAAAUAAGUAAUAGUAUAUCCAUAAAACAGAAUGUUAUCAACCAUAAGACACGUUAAGCAAAUCUCUAUGUAGAAAAAGCAAGGAGAAAUAUUGUAUAUUCUCAAGUGAGAAAAAUCAAGUGGCAUGAGUAUUCUAUGAUUUCAUUUAAGCAAAACUAUAUACGACUGUUCGUAGAGAACAUCUAGAAAGCUUCUUUCACGCAGCUCUGUGCUUUUUGAUUACUUUUUUAAAAAUGUAAAAAACUUAUUACCUUUAUUAAAAGAUAUUUUAAGUGGACUGUAUCAAUAUAUUAAAAAACUCUAAAACUAUAAGUAAUACUCAUAUUUUUAAUUUAAUUUUUCAUAAAUAUAGCAUUUAUUCUAAUUUUACUAUUAAUUUAACUUUUGAACUAUGACUUACAAUUGUGCUAUUAGCUCAUUCCAACCUAGUUCUCAUUUAGUAUCUUCUGGUUUAUAGCAUAUUCCUUGUUUCUUCACAUUGUUUUCUUAUUUUAAGAAUUACUUUUGUAAAGGCAGUAUAUUCAGCUCUUUUAAUCAUUUGUGUUUGAUUUGGGAAGUGAUUAAUUCCCGACUUUUUAUAUAUAAAAGAGAUUAAUAUCUUCAGUAUGGUUUCAAGAUUUUGUAACUUCCACAUAAAUAAUAAAGUUUAAUUCAUUUAAUAAACAUUUAAAGUCUAUGUGAUGUAAUUUUAAUGUUGAAAUUUCAACACAAAAAUGUCAGUAACACAGAAUGUAAAUCUCUUAUGUUUUCAGAAAAGGAAUUAAAAUUACUUUAAACAAGAAAAAAAGAUUAUAUUUGAGCCCACUCCCUUUUUUCAAAUCUUGGUCUCCUGGGUAAUGUGAAUAUCACAUAUCUUUCUAUGAAGUUUUUUGUACUCUUCUAAGGGAAAUUUGAAUUAAUAAAAUUAUAUUUCUCUGCUCUAUUGGAUAUUCUUUGUUUUGCAAGAAAGAAAAAUCAGGAGUUAAAGGCAUCUCGAAGCACAUUCAAAUUCAGUCUCUAAUUAUUAUUAUCACUAAAGUUAUUUUUUUCUUUUGAUGAACUUUUUAUAUAACUGGAAAUCUAAGAAUAUAAUUUCUGUUGUUAAAGCUCUAAAAGAAAUCCCAGCCAGGUGUGGUGUCUCAUGCCUGUAAUACUAGCACUUUGGGAGGCCAAGGGGGGAGAAUUGCUUGAGCCCAGGAGUUUGAGACCAGCCUGGGCAAUACAGGGAGACUCCAUCUCUACAAAAAAUAAUUAACUGGGCAUGAUGAUGUGCACCUGUAAUCCCAGCUUCUCCUGAGGCUGUGGUGGGAGGAUCACUUGAGCUCAGGAGGUUGAGGCUACAGUGAUCUGUGAUUAUGUCAUUGCACUCCAGCUGGGCAACAAAGCAAGA